rnacentral:rRNA from 1 species
UACAGAGGUCUCAACCGUUGUUCGGAUUCAUUGGGCGUAAAGGGUGCGUAGGCGGUCUAUUAAGUCAGUGGUGAAAUACUCCAGCUUAACUGGAGGGGUGCCAUUGAUACUGAUGGACUUGAGUCAAGUCGAGGUAGGCGGAAUUGACGGUGUAGCGGUGAAAUGCUUAGAUAUCGUCAAGAACACCAAUAGUGAAGACAGCUUACUGGGCUUAAACUGACGCUGAGGCACGAAAGUGUGGGGAUCAAACAGG